rnacentral:lncRNA from 1 species
GGGAAAAUGAAUUGCCUGGAAAAGUUAUACCAUAGCUUGUUGCAUUACUUGUUCACUACAAACUUUUCUUUGAAAAAGUUACAACAGUUAGCACCUCCUUCCUUUCAAAAAUCAAAACGGGAGAAGGAGCAUAUCUAACUUCACUACCUAUCCUCACUGGGAUUUAACAAAAGGGUAGUGAUCUUUCUUUUUCUUAUCACUUGGGGUUACCUUUUACAUAUUUAGGUAACAUAUAUGUCAAUAGAAAUUACAUUAAAACUAGUGGUACAAUAGCGAACAAUGAUUGCAACAGUAAAUUCCAAAAUAAAAAGGUCUUCGUCAUCGGUAUCAUAAGACUAUACUUCCAUCAAAAUAGUCUAAUGAAAUUCUAGUCCAUCUCACGAUUGCCCAGCUAUCCUCAAAGUAUUCCACAUAGCUUCUAGUCAUGUCAACCUAAAAAGAAAAAUGAAUUGGAGAGUGAGUUUAUCAACAACUCGUGAGUGAAGCAUGGUGCGAGUGUGAAAGAUGCAUGGGAUGAAAUGAAUAAUUCUUAAUCUUCAUUUUCUUUUGGCUAGUACGAAGUCAUUGUUGUAUGCUUGAGCCAAAUUAAUAAAGUGGUACUACCAUAAUAUUGCUAGCACUUAAUUGCCUUCUCUCGGCUAGAAUUUGGCCAGUAUAUAAUUGCCUUGUCUCGGCUAGAAUUUGGCCGGUACAUAAUUGGCUUUUUUUUUUUUUUCACUAAUGAUUGUUGAACUUUAAUGCUGGUUUCUCAUCUUCAACAAUCCUUUAAGGUAAGGAGUUGACCUUGUAUACAACCAACAACCAAUUUUCGUACUUAUAAAUGCUCAUGUGAUAAAAUUAGUUCAUAUAGAAUUUCAGCAUCAUAAUUUUUAUGCUUAGUUCACUAUGCUAGAAAUAUGUUGUAUUGCAAGUAAGCUUGCCUUAACUUAGUUCCAGUUUGUUGCAGGAAAUUGAACUAUCUUACAUCAACAUGUCAAUAAAUACAUAACAAUUUGCAGGUAAUAUUAAAUAUCAACAUGUCAAUAAGCGCAUAACAAUAUGUAGGUAGUACUGAAGCACAUAAGUCAAAUAGAAACAUAUUUCACUCACAGCUUUUGAAGAAUUGAUUCCAGCAACUUUCUCUAUUUCAAUUAUUUCAGAUUCUAACUUUUCUGGUGAGGAAAUGUAUGAAUGUUAGCACUUAUAGGCUCAUUUCCACCUUCAAACACUUCCUUCCAUUGGCUGAUUUGGAG